GCCUACGGGGGGCAGCAGUGGGGAAUAUUGGGCAAUGGGCGCAAGCCUGACCCAGCAACGCCGCGUGAAGGAAGAAGGCUUUCGGGUUGUAAACUUCUUUUGACAGGGAAGAGCAGAAGACGGUACCUGUCGAAUAAGCCACGGCUAACUACGUGCCAGCAGCCGCGGUAAUACGUAGGGAGCAAGCGUUAUCCGGAUUUAUUGGGUGUAAAGGGUGCGUAGACGGGAAAUUAAGUUAGUUGUGAAAUCCCUCGGCUCAACUGAGGAACUGCAACUAAAACUGAUUUUCUUGAGUGCAGGAGAGG
rnacentral:rRNA from 1 species